rnacentral:misc_RNA from 1 species
GAGCCAGAAAAUGACAUGCUUAUUUCCACACAAACACCGUUUAAUACAAAUAUGCAGAACCCCUAAACAGAGGAGAUAAUGUGUUAUUAUGCUGCGGAGUACUGAUAGCAUAUGCCAUAAAUCGGCAUGUUUUAAUAUCAGCAUCCAAGUGACUAGUAUUAGCUACUGAUAAUUGAAAAUCAACAAAAGAACAAACAGGUCGUUUCAAAUUCAGCCACCAUAGGAACAAUAGUCGAGCAGUAGCCGCUAUUUAUUCCUUCUUCCCUAUGCCAUGAGACAUGUUGUAGAUCCCUCUCCCAAUCAUAAACAAAGCAGAAGCAGCCAAAGCAGCUGGAAUGGCCACUGAGGUGACCUUGUCAAAACGACCUUUCAAGUAUGUGUGCUUGUGGACGCUUUGGUAAAACUUUUGCUUCUCAACAAGCUUUUCUCUGGGAUAGAAAGGUGCUUCUUCUGACAUCUUGGCAAGCGACGGAGAGAAAGCUGAAGACGAUGAGCAGGGAGUCGUCGAUGAAGAAAAUCAAUUAGUUGAAUCGAAGCUAAAA